rnacentral:rRNA from 1 species
CCUACGGGAGGCAGCAGUGGGGAAUUUUGGACAAUGGGGGAAACCCUGAUCCAGCCAUGCCGCGUGAGUGAAGAAGGCCUUCGGGUUGUAAAGCUCUUUCGGCUGGGAAGAAAUCGCACAGGCUAAUACUCUGUGCGGAUGACGGUACCAGCACAAGAAGCACCGGCUAACUACGUGCCAGCAGCCGCGGUAAUACGUAGGGUGCGAGCGUUAAUCGGGAUUACUGGGCGUAAAGCGUGCGCAGGCGGUUAGAUAAGUUUGAUGUGAAAUCCCCGGGCUCAACCUGGGAACUGCAUUGAAGACUGUCUGACUAGAGUACGGCAGAGGGGGGUGGAAUUCCACGUGUAGCAGUGAAAUGCGUAGAGAUGUGGAGGAACACCGAUGGCGAAGGCAGAUCUCUGGGCCAUUACUGACGCUGAGGAGCGAAAGCGUGGGGAGCGAACAGGAUUAGAUACCCUGGUAGUCCACGCCGUAAACGGUGGGCACUAGUUGUGGGAACCUUCCACGGUUUCCGCGACGCAGCAAACGCAUUAAGUGCCCCGCCUGGGGAGUACGAUCGCAAGAUUAAAACUCAAAGGAAUUGACGG